rnacentral:lncRNA from 1 species
UGGCAUUUUUGGGCCAUUUAUGCUACCAUGGCACCAUCUUGGAGUCAAAUGAGCCAUAAUUGCUCCAAAAUGGUGCCUUGGAACCAUUUCUGGCUCAUUUGGCUUCAAAAUGGUGCCUUGGUGGCAAUUCUGGGCCAUUUGGCUUAUUUAUGUGACCAUUGCAUCAUUUUUGAGCCAAAUGGCUAAUUUCCGCUUCAAAUACUACAAUUGUCACUUCAAUGCCUUUAUUUAUAUCUAAUUAUGCUAUUCCAACUCUAUUUCAUAGGUUUCUACUGGUGCGAUGGGUGGUGGAUGUUGAAGGUGCCCGAGUCACCUUCUUUUCAUGUAUGAACACUUGUAAUAUGUUGCUACCAUGUGAUGAACACUUGUAAUACUUUUGUUGUGAGAUAUGUGAUGUUUUCGGACUUUCAUGAGAUGUUUAUAUGCUUGUGAUGUGAAUGCUAUAUGUGUAUGCGUCUAUAUGCUUGUGAUGUGUAUUGUUGUGAUGUGUCUGAAUAUAUAUCUAUAUAUAUGUGCUGUCAAAAUAUUUCUAAUUGCUGCGAUAAAAAAAUUAAAAAAAAACUUUGCCGACGGCCACAGUCCUGGCCGCCGGCAAAGGCUGAGCGCGGGCAUGCACCAGAUCGUGCCGCGUGUCCACCCUUUGCCGGCGGCAUUUUCGCCGGACGCUGGCAAAGACCGACAGGUGGGCCACGACCUGGCACGCGUGGCCGCCUCACGGCAUGCCCCGUGCCGUCCCUUUGCCCGCGGCUUUUUACCUGGC